UACGGGGGGGCAAGCGUUGUUCGGAAUUACUGGGCGUAAAGGGCUCGUAGGCGGCCAACUAAGUCAGACGUGAAAUCCCUCGGCUUAACCGGGGAACUGCGUCUGAUACUGGAUGGCUUGAGAUUGGGAGAGGGAUGCGGAAUUCCAGGUGUAGCGGUGAAAUGCGUAGAUAUCUGGAGGAACACCUGUGGCGAAAGCGGCUCACUGGACCAUAACUGACGCUGAUGCACGAAAGCUAGGGGAGCAAACAGG
rnacentral:rRNA from 1 species